GAUGAACGCUGGCGGCGUGCUUAACACAUGCAAGUCGAACGAAGCUCUUUUGCGGAUGUUUUCGGAUUGAAGUAAAAGAUGACUUAGUGGCGGACGGGUGAGUAACGCGUGGGUAACCUGCCUCUGACAGGGGGACAACAGUUAGAAAUGACUGCUAACACCGCAUAAGCGCACGGUAAGGCAUCUUACAGUGUGAAAAUAUUUAUAGGUCAGAGAUGGGCCCGCGUCUGAUUAGCCAGUUGGCAGGGUAACGGCCUACCAAAGCGACGAUCAGUAGCCGGCUUUAACGAGUGAACGGCCACAUUGGAACUGAGACACGGUCCAAACUCC
rnacentral:rRNA from 1 species